AGACCGUACUUCCCUUUCAACAGUAAGGAUCCGAGAAAAUGCUGUACCAUCAGUUUUGCCUACACACCCAAAACAUUUGCAAAAGAUUUCCUAAAAAUGAAAGUCAGAAAGCUCUGUGGGAGAAUGCCGUGAGGAGGAAGAAUUGACGUGCGUCUAAAUGGAGCAUUAUAUGUUCUGAGCAUUUUCGAGAAGAGGACAUAGACCAAACUUCUCUCUCAACAGCAAGGCUGCGUGAAAAUGCUGUAUCAUCAGUUUUCCCUACACACCCAAAACAUUUGCAAAAGGGAGACAAGAAGAGAAAGCCACCAUUGCAGAAGGAGAGCUCUUCCUUUCCAUCUUCAGUUUUGGCUGCUGUCAGCAG